rnacentral:sRNA from 1 species
AGGGAGCCUGAACCGCGCGGCCGAACCCUCCGGUGUCCCGACCCAGGCUAAGCUUGAGCAUGGCUGAGCAGGAGCCCACAGCCGAGCAGCUGGCCCAGAUUGCAGCGGAGAACGAGGAGGAUGAGCACUCGGUCAACUACAAGCCCCCGGCCCAGAAGAGCAUCCAAGAGAUCCAGGAGCUGGACAAGGACGACGAGAGCCUGCGAAAGUACAAGGAGGCUCUGCUGGGCCGCGUGGCCGUUUCCGCAGACCCCAACGUCCCCAACGUCGUCGUGACUGGCCUGACCCUGGUGUGCAGCUCGGCCCCGGGCCCCCUGGAGCUGGACCUGACAGGUGACCUGGAGAGCUUCAAGAAGCAGUCGUUUGUGCUGAAGGAGGGUGUGGAGUACCGGAUAAAAAUCUCUUUCCGGGUAAGCUACAGGCUGCUGUGGCCAGGGAAUGGAGGCGGGGCUAGGGCUGGGGUCCGGGCCGACCUUCCCUGAUUUGCUUCGGGUCCUGCAGGUUAACAGAGAGAUAGUGUCCGGCAUGAAGUACAUCCAGCACACGUACAGGAAAGGCGUCAAGAGUGAGUG